rnacentral:rRNA from 1 species
GACGAACGCUGGCGGCGUGCUUAACACAUGCAAGUCGAACGGAAAGGCCCUGCUUUUGUGGGGUGCUCGAGUGGCGAACGGGUGAGUAACACGCGAGUAACCUGCCCUUGACUUUGGGAUAACUUCAGGAAACUGGGGCUCAUACCGGAUAGGAGCUCCUGCUGCAUGGUGGGGGUUGGUAAGUUUCGGCGGUUGGGGAUGGACUCGCGGCUUAUCCGCUUGUUGGUGGGGUAGUGGCUUACCAAGGCUUUGACGGGUAGCCGGCCUGAGAGGGUGACCGGCGACAUUGGGACUAAGAUACGGCCCAGACGCCUACGGGAGGCAGCAGUGGGGAAUAUUGCACAGUGGGCGGAAGCCUGAUGCAGCAACGCCGCGUGCGGGAUGACGGCCUUCGGGUUGUAAACCACUUUCGCCUGUGACGAAGCGUGAGUGACGGUAAUGGGUAAAGAAGCACCGGCUAACUACGUG